rnacentral:lncRNA from 1 species
UGCAUUCUCUGUUGGUUUCACUGUUGUUGUAACAGUUUCAGGCGGAGGGGCUGUUGUAACAGUUUCUGGUGGCGCUCUUGUAACAGUUUCAGGCGUCGUUGUUGUUUGGCUAGUAUCUUCUGUGGCUACAGCUGUUUCUGUGUUUGGAGUUGAAGACGGAUCACUUUUGUCUUCCAAAGAAGUUUCCUCCUCUACGGGAGGAGGCUCAGACACUGUCUCCUUCACGGGUCCAUCCACAGGUGCUGCUGCAGUUUCAGAUGCUGGUGACUCAGCAACAGCUGCGGUUUCAGGUGCUGGUGACUCAGCAACGGCUACGGUUUCAGGUGCUGGUGACUCAGCAACGGCUACGGUUUCAGGUGCUGGUGACUCAGCAGUAGCUGCAGUUUCAGGCGCUGAUUCAGUCCGUGGUGCCUCAGAAGAUGGAGGAGCUUCAAUAGCCAAUGGUUUUGCAGGUUCUUCGAGCGCCAAUGGCUUAGCUACUUCUGGC